rnacentral:rRNA from 1 species
AGUGAACGCUGGCGGUAGGCCUAACACAUGCAAGUCGAACGGCAGCACAGUAAGAGCUUGCUCUUACGGGUGGCGAGUGGCGGACGGGUGAGGAAUACAUCGGAAUCUACUUUUUCGUGGGGGAUAACGUAGGGAAACUUACGCUAAUACCGCAUACGACCUACGGGUGAAAGCAGGGGAUCUUCGGACCUUGCGCGAUUGAAUGAGCCGAUGUCGGAUUAGCUAGUUGGCGGGGUAAAGGCCCACCAAGGCGACGAUCCGUAGCUGGUCUGAGAGGAUGAUCAGCCACACUGGAACUGAGACACGGUCCAGACUCCUACGGGAGGCAGCAGUGGGGAAUAUUGGACAAUGGGCGCAAGCCUGUUCCAGCCAUACCGCGUGGGUGAAGAAGACCUUCGGGUUGUAAAGCCCUUUUGUUGGGAAAGAAAAGCAGCAGGUUAAUACCCCGCUGUUCUGACGGUACCUAAAGAAUAAGCACCGGCUAACUUCGUG